UACGAAGGGUCCAAGCGUUAUCCGGAUUUAUUGGGUUUAAAGGGUGCGUAGGCGGCUUAUUAAGUCAGUGGUGAAAGACUUCAGCUUAACUGAAGAGCUGCCAUUGAUACUGAUGAGCUUGAGUACAGUUGAGGUGGGCGGAAUGUGUCAUGUAGCGGUGAAAUGCUUAGAUAUGACACAGAACACCGAUUGCGAAGGCAGCUCGCUAAACUGUAACUGACGCUGAGGCACGAAAGCGUGGGGAGCAAACAGG
rnacentral:rRNA from 1 species